rnacentral:rRNA from 1 species
GACGAACGCUGGCGGCGUGCUUAACACAUGCAAGUCGAGCGGUAAGGCCCUUCGGGUACGACGAGCGGCGAACGGGUGGAGUAACACGUGGGUGACCUGCCUCUAGCUCUGGGAUAAGCCUGGGAAACUGGGUCUAAUACCGGAUAUGACUCCACGGCGCAUGUUGUGGGGUGGAAAGCCUUGUGUGGCUAGAGAUGGGCCCGCGGCCGUAUCAGCUUGUUGGUGGGGUGAUGGCCUACCAAGGCGACGACGGGUAGCCGGGCCUCGAGAGGGCGACCGGCCGACACUGGGACUGAGACACGGCCCAGACUCCUACGGGAGGCA